GUGCAAAGCGAGGGUCUCGGACGCCGUUUCUUGUGUUCAUCAUAUACACAGAACAGCCCUGCUGCAAAGAUGGUCAACGUACCUAAACCUGAAGAACCUUCUGUAAGAAGUGUGGCAAGCAUCAGCCUCACUAAGUGACACUGCUAGGUAACUAGAGCACCCUAAUGGCGCUGGUUCUGGGUUCUUCCUCAAUGCAAACCCGCCAAAGGAAAAACCAAUCAGAGAGAGGUGUUUUUCCCGCCUUGCUCUAAGCCCCACCCCAACCAAUCACAAACAUCCACGCAGCCCUCCUGGGCAUAAAAGAAGCAAACCCCCCACCCACCGCUCUCUCUCUCUCUCUCCUGCCCUGCCUAGCCUGCUGCCUCCAAUAAAGAUCUCUUGGCUGAGCCAGUGUGCCGUGGUCUUAAGUCUGAGAGUCACUCUUUCAUUGGUGCCGUGACUCGGAUUGGGACUCCCCGCCUCCGGUGGGACCCCAGUCCCCCUCAGACUCAGACCAGGCCCCAGCCGGCCUUCGCCCAAUUUUCCGUCCACCGAACAGCGCAUCCACCACCGGCUCCUGUUUGUUGGCAGCCUACGACUGACGGGGCCCUAGGACCUCUUCCUGACACACACCAUCACCACGCAGGAGCCCAGGGUGCCUCUUGCGACUUUUAACCAGCUUCUCAUCAGGCACUACCAACUCCUAGCAACCGAAGAAGACGACCAGGACUCACCUACCCAUGGCCUCCACCUCCAGGACCUGUAAUUUCUUAGAUUUCCUCCAGGCCCUCCAAGAAGAUACGUGGCUCACAGCAGAUCCUUCCCUGCCACACAGAUGGCUCGCGUCCAUAGAUGACCUCUACUUACAAGGGACAUCUUUAGACUUCACACCCCGGGAAGUGUUCACCUUAAGCGCCGUCUUCCUUGGCCUCCUGCUAUUGCUCUGCCCCUACAGUCCUCCAAUAUCCCUUCCCACGACGCCCCCGUUCAGCAGGAAGUAGCCAGACAAACAGGGACGCCCACCUCCCCACUUCUUAAAAAACAAAAAAGGGAGGAAUGUUAGGUAACUAAAGUACCCUAAUGGCGCUGGUUCCGGGUUCUUCUUCCUCAAUGCAAACCCGCCAAAGGAAAAACCAAUCAGAGAGAGGUGUUUUUCCCGCCUCGCUCUAAGCCCCACCCCAACCAAUCACAAACAUCCACGCAGCCCUCCUGGGCAUAUAAGAAGCAAACCCCCCACCGCUCGCUCUCUCUCUCUCUCUCUCUCCUGCCGUGCCUAGCCUGCUGCCUCCAAUAAAGAUCUCUUGGCUGAGCCGGUGUG